AGCUGACCUGCGAUCGACAGAAGGUCGCUAUGUGUCCUCUGAAACGUUGAGUCCGACUGACUCGAAUAUGAUGGUUGUGAGGGAACAAACACCGUCGGAAGCGCUUGCAAUAGUCCCGAUCCAGGUUUUUGUGCCGGCAUCCCAAACAACCCCUGAGACAGAUUUCGAACCAACCCCUAUGCUACGGAUUGAAGGG